UAUAUACGCAUAUAUACGCAUACAUACACAUAUAUACGCAUAUAUACGCAUACAUACACAUAUAUACGCAUAUAUAUGCAUACAUACACAUAUAUAUGCAUAUAUAUACAUAUACAUACAUACACAUAUAUAUGCAUAUAUAUAUAUACAUAUAUAUAUAUACACAUUCCCUUUCUGUUAUUAUCUUCAAUCAUGACCUAUCCCAAGAGACUGAAUAUAGUUCCCUGUGCUAUACAGCAGGACCUCAUCAAUGGGUUUUCAAUCAUGCCCUCAGAAGACAUUUGGCAGUAUCUCAGAGAGGUUUUUGAGGUCGGAAGAGCACCAUAGGCAAAGGACUAACAUGAGUCAAAUGGCAGAGGAACUUCUGUUUAUGCAUGUAGAACACCCUUGCCCCAUGUAAGGAAGACAAUACUUCUAUUUCCCUUAUGCAGCAUUCAGAGGUAUAACACAUUCGAAAUGCUGAAAGGAAAAGAAAAAAAAAUGUUGAAAGUAGCCAGAGAAAAGAAGACAUUACAUAAAAAAGAACAAAGACGACGUUACACUAAACUUCUCAUCAGGACCUAUGCAAACCAGAAGACCAGAGAAUGACAUCUUUCAAGCAUUGGAAGACAAAAACUGCCAUCAAUUAUCCUAUUCCCAGCAAAAGGAUCUUCCAAAAAUGAAGGAAAAUAAAGAAUUUCUCAAAUAAAUAAAACCUGAAAGAAACCACUGCCUGCAUACACACGCUCUGAGAAAUAUUAAAGGAGGUUCUUCAAGCGGAAGGAAUAUGCUACCUGUCUUAGUCUGCCAGGGCUGCCAUCACAAAAUAUUAUAAACUGGACGGCUUAACAAUUUGCUCACAGCUCUGAGGGGUAGAAAUUUGUUUGCAGAGUGCCAGCAUGGUCAGGGUCUGGACAGGGCUCUCUUCCUUGCUUGAAAUAGCCACCCUCUUGCUGAGUCCUCAGGUGGCAGACAGAGGGACAAGCAAGCUUCUUUUUUAUUUUUUGGCCAUGCCCAAGCAUGCAGAAGUUCCCGGCCCAGGGACUGAACAGCAGAGACAAUGCUGGAUCCUUAACCCACUGAGCUACCAGGAAACUCCUCCGGCGUGUCUCUUCUUGUAAAGGCACUAAUCUCAUCAAACCAGAGCCCUGCUCCUAUGACCUAAUCACCUCUCAUAGGCUCUAUAUCCAAUUAUUACCACAUUGAGGUUAGGACUUUAACAUAUGAAUUUGAACUGUGGCAAGUACAAACAUUCAGUGCAAAAUAAUAUCAGACUGCAACUUGGAUCUACACACACACACACAUGAAUAGCACUGAAAUAAAAUAGAUGAAGCUCUGAUAGAAUAACAACAUUAACUACUUUGUUCACCACUAGUUCUCUGAUAGCUAGAGAAGGAUCUGAGGUACACUCAAUAAACUUUUCUAAAUGACUAAAUGAAGGCACCCCCGACUAAGUGAUGUGGACUUUGAGGAAACUGAAUGAUAAUCAAUGCACAAUAGAACCAUUACAAGCUCACUUAUAAAACCAGUUUUAUACUGGGUGUCAUAAAAAUUAAUUCCAAGUCAUCCAAGUUUUUAGUUUAAGAUCUGUAGGAUUCUGUUCUUUUAAUAGCCAUAGUCUCAUCACAGAAUAAUUGCUUUAGCAAUCCUGCUAAGUAGGAGCAAGGCUUCAUUUAAAUAUGAAGGUGAGUUUCCUUGUGGUACAGAGGGUUAAGAUUCCAGCAUUGUUACUGCAGCAGCUUGGGUUGUUGCUAAGGUGCAGGUUCAAUCCCUAGCCUAGGAAUUUCAACAUGCCACAGGUUCAGCCAAAAAAAAAAAACUGAGGGUGAGCAUUAAUAUUUAGAAACAAUCACACAGAUCCACACUAUAAAAAUGCUAAAAGAACUAAAAAAUCUAGAGGAAUUUAAAGUGAAAUACAAAAUAUAUAUACAUAUAUGUAUAUAUAUAUAUAUAUUCUAUGAUUCCACAAUAAGGCAAACUAUAGCAAAACAAAUCUGAAAAUUAGUUUAUUCUAGGGGAGAGUAAUUAGAAAGGGGCAACAGAGAACUUCCUAGAAUGACAGAAAACAUCUGUAUCUUCA
rnacentral:lncRNA from 1 species